UCUUAUUCUGUAGUGCAGACUUUACAUUUUUAAUUGACUAAUUACUUUCUUGUAAAUUAUUCACACGAAGUAGAACCACUUUGUUCCAAUAGCAUAUUGUAUUGCCUGGACUUAAACUAUUUUUUUUUUAAAUAGGAUUAAAGAAUUUAUCACAUGUCAGUCUCUUUGACUUUAAGCAUUAUUUCCAAAUAUUUUUAUUUAUUUUACAGUGUAUUUAUUUGUCAAUACACUUCUGAUUUGAUGCCAACUGAGAAUAUGGGAGAAUUUCAUCAUUACUUACCGUAUGAAUCUUUUCUGUCUCUAUUAAAUAGAAGCCUGAGAACAGGAAAAGAGAAGAAAUGGUGUAUGGAUACACAAGUUCUGUGAACAAAUGAACAAGCAGUAGUGAGGAACAACAAGUCCAGUGAAGGGCUACUAAGAUGAUGAGGGGACUGGAGCAUCUCCCCAUGAGGAAAGGCUGAGAGAGCUGGGCCUGUUCAGCCUGGAGAAGAGAAGACUGAGGGGGGAUCUUAUCAAUUGGAAGCAAAAGUGUCAAGAGGAUGGGGCCAGACUCUUCUCCGUGGUGCCCAGUGAAAGGACAAGAGGCAACGGGCACAAACUGAAACACGGGAAUUUCCGUCUGCACAUGGGGAGAAACUUCUUUACUGUGAGGGUGACUGAGCACUGGAACAGGCUGCCCAGAGAGGCUGUGGAGUCUCCUUCCCUGGAGGUAUUCAAAAGCCGUCUGGACACAUUCCUGGGAAAUGUGCUCUAGGUGACCCUGCUUGAGCAGGGGGGUUGGACUAGAUGAUCUCCAGAGGUCCCUUCCAACCUCAACCAUUCUGUGAUUCUGUGAGGAGUAGAAGGAUCUAUGAAUUUUUUUCCUUUCCCCUUUCCCGAAACAGAUCAGCUGGUGGGUAGGCUGCGUAAGACAGAGAGAGUUUAUUCUCUUUGAUAGCUAUCACAUCUUUAAUGAAGAAAAAGAAAAGAAGACAUUUUAUUAGAAAAAAAGAAAAAAUAAACAGAAGAAACAAUACCCGCA
rnacentral:lncRNA from 1 species